rnacentral:rRNA from 1 species
AGACCCGAAACCCGGUGAUCUAGCCAUGGGCAGGUUGAAGGUUGGGUAACACUAACUGGAGGACCGAACCGACUAAUGUUGAAAAAUUAGCGGAUGACUUGUGGCUGGGGGUGAAAGGCCAAUCAAACCGGGAGAUAGCUGGUUCUCCCCGAAAGCUAUUUAGGUAGCGCCUCGUGAAUUCAUCUCCGGGGGUAGAGCACUGUUUCGGCAAGGGGGUCAUCCCGACUUACCAACCCGAUGCAAACUGCGAAUACCGGAGAAUGUUAUCACGGGAGACACACGGCGGGUGCUAACGUCCGUCGUGAAGAGGGAAACAACCCAGACCGCCAGCUAAGGUCCCAAAGUCAUGGUUAAGUGGGAAACGAUGUGGGAAGGCCCAGACAGCCAGGAUGUUGGCUUAGAAGCAGCCAUCAUUUAAAGAAAGCGUAAUAGCUCACUGGUCGAGUCGGCCUGCGCGGAAGAUGUAACGGGGCUAAACCAUGCACCGAAGCUGCGGCAGCGACACUGUGUGUUGUUGGGUAGGGGAGCGUUC